rnacentral:rRNA from 1 species
UAAGUAAGUGGUGGAAAUUAAACCAAAUGGGAUAUCUUUAGUAAUUGCGAAUGAACAAGGAUAUGCUUAGCUUGACAAAUGGAGCUAUUGGCUUUGAAUUGUAUUUGUGGAAUGUAUUGCCAACAGAGGUGCAGGUGCCAGCCUAUUAAAUAAAGCGUCAAUGAGGGUGAGAAUCCUGUUUGUCAUGUGCAGCCCUUUGUGCACGGUGUAUAUUUGCUGAGUCACACUCCUUGGCAUUGGAAUGCAAAGUGGGUGGUAAGUUUCAUGUACAGGUAAACAUGCAAUUGAGACUGAUAGCACACAAGUACCAUGAGGGAAAUAUGAAAAGGACUUUGAAAAGAGAAUUAAAUGAGUUUGUAUUUGCUGAACACAAAGUAAACAGACUUGAUUUGCUUGGUGGGAGUGUUGCACUUGCUUGACAAGAGCUUUGGGCUGUGGGUGUAAUGAUUCUUUCUUUGCAUGCCAGUUUCUAUGUGUACAUCUGAUUACCUUUGCACAUGAAUGAUAAGUCUCCUGUGGGGGGUGGAUUGCAUGUGCAUGUAAUGAUUUGUGUUUUGAUAAAUGUGUCUGGUGUAUGUGUGUGUGCUCCUGUGCUUGGGGAUGCUUCCUUCCUUGGACUUACAAGCCCUGACACACACAUGCUGGCAAAAUGCUUCUGCUUGACCCG